ensembl:lncRNA
CAAAAACUCCACUAUACACUGAGACAGCAGUAUGCAUGGAGCAUUUGAAUGUUAACAUCAAGUAAGUCGCUGAAAACAUGAAACGAAGCUGAGGACAUGUUGUGAAAAAUACUGUGACAAAGCAAACAAAAAACAACUGUAUGAAAAUGAAGUAUUUGCUGUAGAGACAGAAACAUCCAGAUAGAAAUUAAAAAGUGCUUUUGCUUUUUCCCCAUCCACAACCAGACCUUAAAUUAAAGGAGCAAUUGCUUAGAAGUUAUUCCAAAGCCAGUCUUUUGGUAAAAUGGGAUUAUGAUGGGAAUGUGCAAUUCCUAAACUAAAACAUCCAGAUAGUAAACACAGAUCAUGCAUGACCUGAAAGGGACCGCAUCACUGAUGUUUGAAACUGAAGCCUUAAAAAGGAACCACUCCAAGCCACAACAUAUCAAGAUAAACACUGGCUGCAGAUGUGUACGUCUGGAAAAUACUGUUUGCUGUAUGACAUCCACUCGUUAUUGUGAAGGAGACAUGCUGCAAGGCCACAGCUGGCAGCUGUGAGAAAACGUGUCACGGCAUAGACCUUCAGACCUAGGUUGGCAUUGCCAGCAGCUGAAACUCCUGGAGCUGUAAACACUGUUGAUAUUGUCUAAAGGAAAAAACAAACAAACAAACAAAAAACAACAAAAAACAGCUCAGGAAGACCUGACAAAUGUACGCUUGCUCCUGCAUCAGUGUGCUAGGGAUGGAUUCUGGUAUACACACAUGGCUGGUUGUUCACUAGUAAGGUACCAAUCAAAAAAAAGACUGUUCAUUUACAGUUAAUUCUAUUUAUCACCAGUCAGGGAAUCAUACAGGGGAUUCAGCACCAGCCUGCCACUGGGGGGAAAACAACUGGUGUUGCUGCCUCCAAGGGUCUCAAACAGGUCAGCAUCCACCUGCACCCUGCCUGCACAUUACACCCAGGUGGGCACCCAGCACACAUUACAAAUUGCAUAGAGAACAGAUAAGGGUAGAGUAUCCUCCCUUAAAUCAAGCUCAU